AUUGAACGCUGGCGGCAUGCUUUACACAUGCAAGUCGAGCGGUAACAGGCCGCAAGGUGCUGACGAGUGGCGAACGGGUGAGUAAUGCAUCGGAACGUGCCCAGUCGUGGGGGAUAACGCAGCGAAAGCUGUGCUAAUACCGCAUACGAUCUAUGGAUGAAAGCGGGGGACCGUAAGGCCUCGCGCGAUUGGAGCGGCCGAUGUCAGAUUAGGUAGUUGGUGGGGUAAAGGCUCACCAAGCCAACGAUCUGUAGCUGGUCUGAGAGGACGACCAGCCACACUGGGACUGAGACACGGCCCAGACUCCUACGGGAGGCAGCAGUGGGGAAUUUUGGACAAUGGGCGCAAGCCUGAUCCAGCAAUGCCGCGUGCAGGAAGAAGGCCCUCGGGUUGUAAACUGCUUUUGUACGGAACGAAACGGUCUGGGUUAAUACCCUGGGCUAAUGACGGUACCGUAAGAAUAAGCACCGGCUAACUACGUGCCAGCCGCCGCCGUAAAAC
rnacentral:rRNA from 1 species